GAUGAACGCUAGCGGGAGGCCUAACACAUGCAAGCCGAGCGGUAGAGAUCUUUCGGGAUCUUGAGAGCGGCGUACGGGUGCGGAACACGUGUGCAACCUGCCUUUAUCAGGGGGAUAGCCUUUCGAAAGGAAGAUUAAUACCCCAUAAUAUUUAGAAUGGCAUCAUUUUAAAUUGAAAACUCCGGUGGAUAGAGAUGGGCACGCGCAAGAUUAGAUAGUUGGUGAGGUAACGGCUCACCAAGUCUGCGAUCUUUAGGGGGCCUGAGAGGGUGAUCCCCCACACUGGUACUGAGACACGGACCAGACUCCUACGGGAGGCAGCAGUGAGGAAUAUUGGACAAUGGGUGCGAGCCUGAUCCAGCCAUCCCGCGUGAAGGAUGACGGCCCUAUGGGUUGUAAACUUCUUUUGUACAGGGAUAAACCUAGAUACGUGUAUCUAGCUGAUGGUACUGUACGAAUAAGCACCGGCUAACUCCGUGCCAGCAGCCGCGGUAAUACGGAGGGUGCAAGCGUUAUCCGGAUUUAUUGGGUUUAAAGGGUCCGUAGGCGGAUCUGUAAGUCAGUGGUGAAAUCUCACAGCUUAACUGUGAAACUGCCAUUGAUACUGCAGGUCUUGAGUGUUGUUGAAGUAGCUGGAAUAAGUAGUGUAGCGGUGAAAUGCAUAGAUAUUACUUAGAACACCAAUUGCGAAGGCAGGUUACUAAGCAACAACUGACGCUGAUGGACGAAAGCGUGGGGAGCGAACAGGAUUAGAUACCCUGGUAGUCCACGCCGUAAACGAUGCUAACUCGUUUUUGGGAUGCAAGUUUCAGAGACUAAGCGAAAGUGAUAAGUUAGCCACCUGGGGAGUACGUUCGCAAGAAUGAAACUCAAAGGAAUUGACGGGGGCCCGCACAAGCGGUGGAUUAUGUGGUUUAAUUCGAUGAUACGCGAGGAACCUUACCAAGGCUUAAAUGGGAAAUGACAGGUUUAGAAAUAGACUUUUCUUCGGACAUUUUUCAAGGUGCUGCAUGGUUGUCGUCAGCUCGUGCCGUGAGGUGUUAGGUUAAGUCCUGCAACGAGCGCAACCCCUGUCACUAGUUGCCAUCAUUAAGUUGGGGACUCUAGUGAGACUGCCUACGCAAGUAGAGAGGAAGGUGGGGAUGACGUCAAAUCAUCACGGCCCUUACGCCUUGGGCCACACACGUAAUACAAUGGCCGGUACAGAGGGCAGCUACACAGCGAUGUGAUGCAAAUCUCGAAAGCCGGUCUCAGUUCGGAUUGGAGUCUGCAACUCGACUCUAUGAAGCUGGAAUCGCUAGUAAUCGCGCAUCAGCCAUGGCGCGGUGAAUACGUUCCCGGGCCU
rnacentral:rRNA from 1 species